AUUGAACGCUGGCGGCAGGCCUAACACAUGCAAGUCGAGCGGAUGAGGAGAGCUUGCUCUCUGAUUUAGCGGUGGACGGGUGAGUAAUGCCUAGGAAUCUGCCUGGUAGUGGGGGAUAACGUUCCGAAAGGAACGCUAAUACCGCAUACGUCCUACGGGAGAAAGCAGGGGACCUUCGUGCCUUGCGCUAUCAGAUGAGCCUAGGUCGGAUUAGCUAGUUGGUGAGGUAAUGGCGCACCAAGGCGACGAUCCGUAACUGGUCUGAGAGGAUGAUCAGUCACACUGGAACUGAGACACGGUCCAGGCUCCUACGGGAGGCAGCAGUGGGGAAUAUUGGACAAUGGGCGAAAGCCUGAUCCAGCCAUGCCGCGUGUGUGAAGAAGGUCUUCGGAUUGUAAAGCACUUUAAGUUGGGAGGAAGGGUUGUAGAUUAAUACUCUGCAAUUUUGACGUUACCAACAGAAUAAGCACCGGCUAACUUCGUGCCAGCCGCCGCCGUAACAC
rnacentral:rRNA from 1 species